UCGGAGCUCAGGAAGCAUGGCACUCUGGCGGGCAUACCAGCGGGCCCUGGCUGCUCACCCGUGGAAAGUACAGGUCCUGACAGCUGACUUCUGGGGAGGAAGGCAGCACUGCUGGCCCCAUGCCAGUAGCUAUACCUGCCGACCCAGGCCUCCUGGACUGAAGGACAUGCUUCCUGCUCCUCACUCCAAGAAGCCACUUCUUGCCCCUCUGCCUUCUGCGCAUGAAACUCAAAAGCCACAAAAGGUCCCUGAUGGGCCUGGGUGACAUUAUCUCACAGCAGCUGGUGGAGAGGCGGGGUCUGCAGGAACACCAGAGAGGCCGGACUCUGACCAUGGUGUCCCUGGGCUGUGGCUUUGUGGGCCCUGUGGUAGGAGGCUGGUACAAGGUUUUGGAUCGGUUCAUCCCUGGCACCACCAAAGUGGAUGCACUGAAGAAGAUGUUGUUGGAUCAGGGGGGCUUUGCCCCGUGUUUUCUAGGCUGCUUUCUCCCACUGGUAGGGGCACUUAAUGGACUGCCAGCCCAGGACAACUGGGCCAAACUACAGCGGGUGAGCUGGGCAGGUGUGGAGAAUGUCUCUGGCUGGCGGGCUGACAGCCCAGGGGAAGAAGACAGGUUUUACAGGGAUAAAAAAGGGGGUAAGUGCAGGUAGAGCCCCAGGCCAUGGAGGAGAGGAGCUGAGGGUUAUGGUGCAGGAAUGUGCUCUUUGAACCCAAGUCUGUGUGUGACAUUCACACUGGGAAGUGGGAGCUGCUUGGGGGCGCAAGUGUUAAUUUGUUCCUUCUCUGUCUCCCCA
rnacentral:sRNA from 1 species